CCACCUCGGCCCCCCAAAGUGUUGGGAUUACAGGCGUGAGCCACUGCACUUGGCUCCAUAGUUUCUUUUAACCAGCUUACAUAAAGAUGUGAGUGCAAAAACUUGUGAUUUACCAUGACUGUUGCCAUAUGUCCUCAGUCUCCUCAUUCCAGGACAGCUGCCCCACAAGCCACUGCCAGGGUCUUUCACCAAGUUUGUGCCAGGGCAUCUCUCUAAGUUGCUUUCUCCAAAACUGCAGGAGCCUGCUUAACGUUUUUCAUGCAUGACACAGAAUUUCAGGGGAGUUAACACCCUCGGAAGCAACCCUCAACUAAAAAUGUCAUAUGGUUGGAAUGUCAUAUGGUAUGGACAUACAAACUGAAAAAAAAAAGAGAGGGGUAGGAAGAGAGGACCCUUAAGAUAACUACGAGCCACAGGGUCUACCACUUCACUCCAGGGAUGAUGAGAGGCAUUAAGUGAAGAAGGGAUGUGACUCAGUAGCUUUGAAAAAUUCAGAACACUCAGUUGACCUCUGAUAGCAAGGGUGUAGCACUGGCCUAAAUGGCACCAAGAACUUGGGUGUCUCUGGGAUGUAGCAGUGCUGGCCAGAGGAGGUCAGCUCUAAAAUAACCUGACAUGGAAGGGUUUCCUGGUAUGACCCUGAACUUGACCAUUGCUCAACUGUGAGCACUCUGGGAGCAGGAUUCGAGUCUGUGUCUAUCUGUCCUUUUUCUCUACACCAUGCUGCCUGUAACUGUGUGUAUAUUUGUUUUAUCCUUCCAACUAAGGUAUUCAUAUUUACAUCUGUUUCUAUUUCUAUGAUACAACAAUGGGCAGAAUUUUCUUUUCUUUUUUUUUUUUUUUUU
rnacentral:lncRNA from 1 species